CGUUAUGGGGCGUGCCGUGCAGGGCAUCUUCGGAUGCACCGUUCGUUCUCGACGGUUACGCCAACCUGCAUGGCCCGCUCCACCCUG
rnacentral:antisense_RNA from 3 species